GGAAUAGGGUCGGCAAUACGUUUGCGAUGCUUCUGGUCUUGCAGGCGUCUUUAGGCUGCGGUAAUCUCUUACCAUCAGGUGAGCCGUAUGCUUGUUUGCCGACCAAGUGAUAUA